AUCUGCCAGCCUGUGCCUUCUGAUUGGGAAGUUGAGACCACUGAGACUGAGAGUUAUUAUUGUAAGCCACCGUGAGGUGAGCAGCUUCUCUGCCCUGUGUUCCCUCCAUGAUGUCCUGCCUUGCCACAGGCCCGAAAGGAAUAGGGCCAGGCGGCUAUGGACUGAAACCUCCAAAACCUUGCUCGGGAAAUGCUGAAUGGACGCAUGAGUGGCAAAUUCGUAAUCCCUCCCGGAGGGCCAGGGUCGGAAAGAGCAACGAAGCCUCCGCCCAGGUUUCCAAUCCCAGCUGCGAUGCUCACGGGCUACAGAGCCUUGGCGAAGUUGCACGGCUCCUCAGGGCUCAGGUUCUUCAUCUGUGAAGUGAAAACAGCAAGGCCCUGUGGACAGAACGGGGUCCCACCCCGGCCUUGCACCCAGAGGACCCGAGUGUCUCCUACCGUACCUUCCUCUGCCCUCACCCUAGGAGUGGCCCAAAGCUUUGGGGCGGCUCUGGUGCAGAAGGGACAGGAAUGGCCAAGGCCAAGAGGACACAGACUGGGGCUCUGAAUCUGACGGGCCGGAGUCAAGGGCUGGGGCAGAGGACUCGGGAAGUGUGGGAUUGAGGCAUGGCCCUGGGGACAGAGCUGUCAGGAGCUCUGCCCACCCAGGCCUGGCGGGGUGCUGGGCCGUUGUCUCCCCCGGUCGGUCCUGAGCUCUGCUUCCAAGAGUGGGCGGUCCUGCCCUGCCACUCCAGGGGGAAGAGGCUGGGGUGCAGCUCGGGGAGAGGAGCCGGGACCCAGUUGCCGACGGUGUUCGCCUGCUCCCUGGUGGUGAGUCCGGUGUCAUGCAGGGGCUGAGAGCAGGAGGGCCCCGGGCCCCUGACUGGCUGGGAUUCAGAGGGUUGGAUCUAGCCUGUCUCCUGCCAGGCCGCCCUGCAGGACAGCGCUGGUCCAGGUGAAGGAGCAGGGUGGGGGAGGAUGCAAUGGGAGAGGGAAGCCGUGAGCUGAGCAGCCCUGGAAGAGGGGCUCCAGCCAGGGCUGAGGACCAGAAAAGAAGGAGUCCCGGGCCCCAGGCUGGUGGUGUUACCCCAAGGGGGCUCUGUCUUUGCACGCUUGGAUGAAGCCCUGGGGAGGCUGCAAUGAGCCACAGGCCCUGCAGGGAGGUCCCUAAAGAUAGGGACACGGCCUUAGCCCUCGGUGGGACAGGGAUGAAUUUGGCUCUGAAACGGUGCAGUCAGUGUUGCUUUGGGCAUCAAGGAGGAGGUGCAGCUCCCACAUACAAGUUACUGAACUCCUCUAUGCCUCAGCUUCCUACUCUGUGAAAUGGGAAUACUCAAAGUGCCUCCUUCCUAGAGUUGCUUUGAGGAUUGAAUGAACUAUCACAGGUGAAGAUGGAACACCGCCCGCCAUGGGGUCAGUGUCAGCAGUUGCUAUUCU